GGGGUCGACUGGUUUUGACAGCGAGACUCAUUGGAUGGUAAGCACGUCGUGUAAUGACUUUGAGACACGUAAAAGGCUAGGUCAACUUUUUAAUCGGCGAGAAUAACUACGCUUUAGCUGCAUAAUCUGAAUUACAGUAAGAUUAAGCUAGUUCCUACUAGGUAGGAAAGCUAAAUGUCUCCGGAAAGCCUUGGUUAAUGGCGUUCUAUUUGAGGCAUCGAAAAAAUUGACUAAGGCAGCAUAGCGCUUCGAUGUGCUGUCGAGAUCAAGGAGCUAAGUUGCAGGUAGGUUGUCUUUUGCCAGCCUGCAAUCGAAAACCCAAUGAAAGACUAAACGUGAAGAAAGCUCUUCAAUAGCUUGUUUGGACGAGGGUUCGAAUCCCUCCGACUCCACUG
rnacentral:tmRNA from 1 species